CUCUCAGUGCUGCUGCCGAGACGUCCUGAGUGUCACUAUGAGGUGGUGUACUCAUGGACAAAUGUUGCACUGGCCGCCAAACGAUGGAGCUGCUGACCUGCUUUAGCAUUUGAGGCAAAAGGCUUAGCCUCAGAGCUGCUGGACAAUCAUGCUGCAGACUGACUGAGGAGCAUGGUGAGCAGCAGGCCUUUAGGGAGCAGCAAAGUGUUCUCAUUGACCUCCUGCUGGGCUGCUCUGGGUGAGUGGGUGAGUAUCGUUCUGCUAGGUUGCUGACAUUCAUCACUACACAAUGAUUCAGUCACGUAUGCUCAAUGGGAUGAAUCUUUAGAUAGACUUUGUUGUAUGAAUUGUUAAUUGUCAGAACCCCGUCAUCUACAUUUAUAGGUAAUACAGCAAAUAUGAGGAUACUGGAAUGUAAAGCCUGUGGUAUUUGUUCAACUGCAUCCUAAACUAUGUACAGAUGUUGGAAUAAAAUUUUAUAGCACUCUA